AUGGCAGACCACCUUCAAGUUCAACAGAAACAGUUGGUACUACCGCCGGGGUUUAGGUUCCACCCGACGGAUGAGGAGAUCAUCAAAUUCUAUGUGGUCCCCAAGGUGCUCGAUGAAGCCUUUGUUGCCGCGGCGAUUGAGGAUGUGAAUCUCAACAAGUACGAGCCAUGGGAGCUACCAGAGAAAGUGAAGAUGGGGGAGAAGGAAUGGUACUUUUACUCCCGAAAGGAUCGCAAGUACCCCACCGGGAUACGAACGAACCGGGCGACGGAGGCCGGCUAUUGGAAGGCCACCGGAAAGGACAAGGAGAUCUUCCACCCACCUUUCACACUCAUCGGCAUGAAGAAGACGCUCGUCUUCUACAAGGGUCGGGCGCCUAGGGGGGAGAAGACCAACUGGAUCAUGCAUGAAUAUAGGCUCGAGAGCAGCAAGAAGCUGACAUCCAACCCAUCCACCACCACCCGCACCGUCACCAGAACCAACAUGGCUUCCAAGGAACAGUGGGUGGUUUGCAGGAUCUUCCAUAAGAGCACCAGACUAAAGAAGAUGGUGACGCUGUCAUAUGACAUGCCAAUGUACACAGGAGCAGAACAUCAACAGGGCUUUGUCGACUUAGAUACAUUGCCUCCUCUCAUGGAAUAUGACAUGUCGUCAACGUGUGUGCAUGCACCGCUGUUUCCUGGAGCUUCUUCGUACCAGUUGCACGAUGUUGGGGCUGGCUCAUCGAUGAUGGGCAGUGUGGCGCUUCCUAUGAUGAAUUACCACUACAUCAGGAAUAACCACCACCACCAAAUGAUGGCCAACCCAACACUGCCUCUGCCGCUCUACCAGCACCAACAACAACAUCAACAGAUGAUGAUGCAUAUGGGUGCAGAUCAGGGUCUUAUGGUUGAGGCUCAGCCUGAGAGUGGGUUGGCAUCGAUGAUGUCACAGGAGGAUGCUGUGGCCGGGCUGAGGAACAACUACCCAGGGAACACCGCUGCCACAGCAGUUGGCGAGACCUCGCCGAUGAACAUGGGUAUGGAUGACAUUUGGCGGAACUGA
rnacentral:rRNA from 1 species